AUUGAUGGUUGACUGACUAGUUAGUUUUGAUCGAUCGUCAAAUUGAUAAAAAAAAUUUGCUUAUGUUAAAUGAUUUGAGAUUAUUUUUGUGUGAGAGAAAUUUUUUAUUUAUUUAUAAAAGUAAAUGUAUAUCAUUGAUUGAUGAAUGGUAAUGUUAAAUUAGUAAACAUGAGUUGACGUCACAGUAGCCGAUGGUCGUUUAUCCGAGUUCAAAAUUUCAACUUGAAAUAUAUAAGAAAAAAAAUGUUAAUCGACAAUUCCAUGAAUGUAAAAAAAUUGUAUUUGGCUCCAGCAUUCUAGAUCGUUCAUACACUUUGAAAAUCGUGUUUGAUGGGCGGUGCGCUGAAUAUUGGACGAGUUUUUUUUGUCCGUAAAGCUUACCAUGAAUACUAAGUUGUAAAUCAUGAAUCAUCCUCGCCAUCAGCUAAGUAUAAAUAUAACGGUAAGAUAAGAAGAAAAUAUUUAGAAUGUUCAAAAUUUUAGAUUAACUUGUGUCUGUUAGCAUUGACUUUUUUUGAAUGACAAUGAAAAUAUUUCAUAUCGUUGAAACAGGAUAUCUCGCGCGUAAAUUCAAAUUCUAAUGAAAAGUCCGUGCAUGUACAUUACACAGAGAGGAAAGUAAGCAGGGUAAACUUCAAGAUUGAGUGUUAAAAACACUCCAUAUAUGCAGUAUACAAUCCAGGCUCCAGGUUACGCUUCUUCUUUACAAUGUAAACUGCAUACUUGCAGGCUAAACUGGAAAGUUACAUAUAUUAACCUCCAUCAAAGAAUGGUAAACUCGCUUUCUUAUGGAAGGUUAACCUCCGAUUUUGAAUUUCAUUCAGUUUUUUCGAUAUUAUUCUUCAUUUUUUUCAGGCUUUUAGUCAAAACUCUGAAGAUGUAAUAUUAUCAUUACGAAAUUCAAAGGCAUGUUUUGAACUUGGUCUUUUUUGAACGUUUUGAUUCAAUGAUGCUACUUUUCAAGACAGAGAUGAACAUUAUGAUUAGUCGAAACAUAUUCGUAUUGCAACUUGACUUAUUUAUUUAUUGACUGUCAUCUCGACUUGCCAAUUUGAACUCGGCCACUUGUUGACAUGUUUGAUUCUUGACAUCCACUUUGACUUGGCCAUCGACUUUUUAAAAUGUUCAUCUCUGUCUCGAAAUGUUCAAUCAAUGAAUCAUAAUUAUUGACUGAUGAUCAAGUUCAAUCUUUGCCACAUUCAUCCGUCACACACAAAAUGAAAAUCAAUCAUUUCGAUGGAUUCGAAUUCUCAUCGCUCUGAUCAAAGGAUCUGGAUAUUCAGAUGAAUCUUUCAUUUAAUGAUCGUAACUUGGGAAUAAUGAAAAUCAUAGAUGAACACAACAUUCUGGAUGAAUGGCAUUAACAAGUGCACGAUCGCAGAAUGAUCAAUCAGUCAAAGUCAAUCUGGCCAUCUCAACUUUUUGUCAUCAUCAUCAUUUACGAGAAUAUGGAUAACCGAGCAUCCAUUGGAUUAUCCAAAUUCUCUGGCUUCAUUUUAUAAUUUAUCUCAAGAAUGCAUCAAUUUGUGGCUUUUAAUUUGAAUUUGUAUU